GCCCGGCUGGCUCAGUCGGUGGAGCAUGCGACUCUUGAUCUCCGGGCCGUGGGUUCGAGCCCUACAUUGGGUA
rnacentral:tRNA from 1 species